GAUGAACGCUGGCGGCGUGCUUAACACAUGCAAGUCGAACGAAGCACUUUAUUUGAUUUCCUUCGGGACUGAUUAUUUUGUGACUGAGUGGCGGACGGGUGAGUAACUCGUGGGUAACCUGCCUUGUACAGGGGGAUAACAGUUGGAAACGGCUGCUAAUACCGCAUAAGCGCACGGCAUCGCAUGAUGCAGUGUGAAAAACUCCGGUGGUAUAAGAUGGACCCGCGUUGGAUUAGCUAGUUGGUGAGGUAACGGCCCACCAAGGCGACGAUGCAUAGCCGAGCGGGGAGGGUGACCGGCCACAAUGGGACUGAGGCACGGACUAAACUCCUACGGAAGGCAGCAGUGGGGAAUAUUACACAAGGGGGGAAAGCCUAAUGCAGCGACGCGGGGUGAGCGAAGAAGUAUGUCGGUAUGUAAAGCUCUAUCAGCAGAGAAGAUAAUGACGGUACCUGAUUAAGAAGCACCGGCUAAAUACGUG
rnacentral:rRNA from 1 species